rnacentral:rRNA from 1 species
AACGAACGCUGGCGGCGCGCCUAACACAUGCAAGUCGAACGAGAAGCUGUAGCAAUACAGUUGUACAGUGGCGAACGGGUGAGGAAUACAUGGGUGACCUACCCUCGAGUGGGGAAUAACCAGCCGAAAGGUGGCUAAUACCGCGUACGUUUCCCAGUUUACGGAUUGGGAAGGAAAGCGAUGCCGUGGGUAUCGCGCUCAAGGUUGGGCUCAUGUCCUAUCAGCUUGUUGGUGAGGUAACGGCUCACCAAGGCAACGACGGGUAGCUGGUCUGAGAGGACGAUCAGCCACACUGGCACUGCGACACGGGCCAGACUCCUACGGGAGGCAGCAGUGAGGAAUAUUGCGCAAUGGGCGAAAGCCUGACGCAGCGACGCCGCGUGGGGGAG